AGUGAACGCUGGCGGUAGGCCUAACACAUGCAAGUCGAACGGCAGCACAGUAAGAGCUUGCUCUUACGGGUGGCGGGUGGCGGACGGGUGAGGAAUACAUCGGAAUCUACUUUUUCGUGGGGGAUAACGUAGGGAAACUUAUGCUAAUACCGCAUACGACCUACGGGUGAAAGCAGGGGAUCUUCGGACCUUGCGCGAUUGAAUGAGCCGAUGUCGGAGUAGCUAGUUGGCGGGGUAAAGGCCCACCAAGUCGACGAUCCGUAGCUGGUCCGAGAGGAUGAUCAGCCACACUGGAACUGAGACACGGUCCAGACUCCUACGGGAGGCAGCAGUGGGGAAUAUUGGACAAAGGGCGCAAGCCUGAUCCAGCCAUACCGCGUGGGUGAAGAAGGCCUUCGGGUUGUAAAGCCCUUUUGUUGGGAAAGAAAAGCAGCAGGUUAAUACCCCGCUGUUCUGACGGUACCCAAAGAAUAAGCACCGGCUAACUUCGUG
rnacentral:rRNA from 1 species